CCUGGGUUGGUGUAAUGGUAACAUUUCCAUUGGCAACGGGUAGGAGACUUUCAAGCCACUUACUUGCCCUUCGGGGAGUGGAAGACUCAGGUUCAAAUCCUGAACUCGGGG
rnacentral:tRNA from 1 species